rnacentral:rRNA from 1 species
AUAGACCCGAAACCGGGCGAUCUAUCCAUGGGCAGGUUGAAGGUUAGGUAACACUGACUGGAGGACCGAACCGACUACCGUUGAAAAGUUAGCGGAUGACCUGUGGAUCGGAGUGAAAGGCUAAUCAAGCUCGGAGAUAGCUGGUUCUCCUCGAAAGCUAUUUAGGUAGCGCCUCAUGUAUCACUGUAGGGGGUAGAGCACUGUUUCGGCUAGGGGGUCAUCCCGACUUACCAAACCGAUGCAAACUCCGAAUACCUACAAGUGCCGAGCAUGGGAGACACACGGCGGGUGCUAACGUCCGUCGUGAAAAGGGAAACAACCCAGACCGUCAGCUAAGGUCCCAAAGUCAUGGUUAAGUGGGAAACGAUGUGGGAAGGCUUAGACAGCUAGGAGGUUGGCUUAGAAGCAGCCACCCUUUAAAGAAAGCGUAAUAGCUCACUAGUCGAGUCGGCCUGCGCGGAAGAUGUAACGGGGCUCAAACCAU